rnacentral:lncRNA from 1 species
CCCUCAAAAAUGCUACAGAAGUGAGGGAAAGCAAAGUCUAAGGAAUGAAUACCAUCUAUCGUACAUUCUUUCUACCGUCGAGGCACAACUUUGCAACCAUCAGCUCAAGACUAGUUUCGAGCAUCUCCUGUAGGGUCCGACAACACAUGCUCCUCUCUGAAUAUAAUUCCUGUGGCAGCGAUCAAGUCUGGAUCUUCCAUCUGUGGGGGAAGGGAAAAGGAAGGGGUGAGAACCUAAAUGGUUCCCAGUAAGGUGACAUCGUGAAAGCGCAUCUCUCUUGUGAAACCUAGAGUUUUGGCUCUAUCGUAAUAACUCGCUUACUAAGUCUCUCGGCUACUUCCGUAUUGUGAGCUCUGACAUAACUCUUUCUUGGCAUCUUUCUUUGGGAUGAAUACCAUUCUCACAAUAUUCUCUAUGACUAUUAUUCCUAACUCUAUUAUCUUAUUCUAAGCUUUGAGAAAGUUACGUCAUAAUCUUAAAAUACAGACAAGAAUCAUAAAAUAGAGAAUUAACAAGAAGCAGAUGGCACAUCGCAGAAAGAAUGAACAGUAAACAAUCACAAUCAAAUGUGCAAACAAUUUAUGAUGCAUGCUUGUUCCUAGUGCAGGCCAUGAGCUCAUGCGUCGAUUGUCUACCCGCAACCCGAUGUUACUCGGGGUGAACCCCGAAUAUGGUUCCUUUACUGUGUCAGUUAGACACCUUGACAUCAUGAUUAUCCGUGUCAGUUAGGCCUCAUCAUAAUAACACUUUAAUGUGUAUCACAGUAAAAAACAGUGCUAUUAGUUAGACGAACAUUUCCGCAUUAGCAAUCUCAAGCUAUCAGUUAGGCGGACACUUUCGCAUUAGCAAUUUGGCACAAAGGCCCAUUCAACAUACAAUAUGCUAUCAGUUAGGUAGACAUUCCCGCAUUAGCAAUCUUAGGCUAUCAGUCAGGCGGGCACUUCUGCAUUAGCAGUUUGGCACAAAGGCCCAGUCAAACAAAUAACAUUCAACUAUCCUUUUUAUUCAUUGUUUCUUAUUUCCUGUCUUUUCAUCAUGCCUCCGCAUCACCUUAUAAAUAUAUAUACCUCCGCAUCACCACAUAACUAAGCAUACCUCCACAUCACUAUAUUACUAAGCAUACCUCCGCAUCACCCUUUUAACUUUAACCUUCCUAGAGGUAACUUGUAUUCUUAUUCAUUUCUUAGCUUGUUUAGCCUAAUACCCUUUUGGCGACCAGUUUUUUAUCUAACGAUUAAUACCACAAAUGAACUCAAAUUCACGCAAACUUUAUGUCCACAUGUUAGUAUUGAACUCAAGUUUCUAGAGAACUAAGAAUCUUAUUUUUUUGGGCAGUCUAUCUCUAGCUAUUGAGGAAAAACCGAGAUUGUUAUUCUAGGUUUGUUGGAACAGCAUUUUGCUGUCUUGUGUGAUUUUUAUGUUGUGAAAACUUACGCACGGACUAUAUCUCUUAUCAAAGUAAUGCUAGAGAUCCUAACCUUUACUUUGAAUUAAAUUUUACUGCAUUUGGAUUAGAAUUAAAUUUUAUACAAGAUUUUAAAAUUCUGCUACUGCACUUGUAAAGAUUCAGAAAAACAGCAAGCAGUAGUGUCUUUAUAAAAUCCAUAAUAAUUUCAAUUCUAAUCAAUUGCUUCUAAAUUUUGGGUAGAUUAUACUCAACUUUCCUAAGUUUCAGAAUCAACAAGUUUCAGGUUCAUAUCACUUCAUUUGAUUAAUUAAUUGUCAAUUGGAAGUAGUGCUCUGUUUUCAUAAAUCAGUUCAGAAUUUCCAGCAAGCAAUCCAGCUUCCAAGUGACUUAAUUAAGUCUACAAAAUAGGUAUAAAUAUGAAAUUUGUGCUCAAUUAAAGUGGACGUACAGAUCUUCAAAACUCCUUUAGUAGCAACUUAAAAUGUUACGUAAAACAAAAGUUCCAGUGGUUUGAAAUUGACAUUGCAGAACCAGAAAAUCAGAAAAAUUCUGCAGCAACUACUGUCUUCAAAAAUUCAUAUCUUUUAAACCACUUGGCUAAAUACCUUGAAAUUUUUAUGGCACAUUUAAGACACAGCUAAGUUUUACAAAAAAAUAAUUUCAUCCAAAAAGGUGGUCCGGACUACUCCCAAAAAUUUGUUCAUUCUGCUGUAAAUCAUGCAGAAAUUGCAGAAAUUCUGCACAAUGCAAUUCCAACAACCUCACAUGCCAAAUUCUAUAUUCAAGCCUAAUAUUCCUCCAAAACCACAAUUCCAACUUUUCUUUUUUGACUAAUCAAAAUUACUAAAGUGAUUAGCACAGCCCCAGAGUUCAGAUUCACCAUUUUUCCCUUUUCACAAGUGCACAUAUAUUUAAUUAAGAGAAAGUAUAGGGAGCCAAUGACCUAAGCGUACAAUGUGUACAAUGAAGGUUUAGAAAGUGUUAGAGAUAUGAUUAUUAGUGUUACAUUAUCCUGUCAGGUUACGCUUUUGGGAUGAGUGGUUUCAGGACAUGGUAUUAGAGUUCCAGAUCCGGAAGGUCAAGCGUUCGAAUCUUGGUGAACCCAAAAUUAGCUUUUUAUAACAUGAGAUGUUUAUUAUCCCUGGUAUCCAGAUGGUUAACCGUGGUAUCAGAUGGUUAUUCUGGAUAGUAUAGGGGAUGUUCAUUUUAUUCAUAAACCAAAGAUUUAGCCCAUUGUACACAUUGUACGUUUAGGCCAUUGGCUCCCUAACACUACUCUUUAAUUAAACAUAUACUUUUUCUGCACUACUAAACAUAAUUCCUUUCCAUACAUAAUAAAUCAUCAAUCAUCAUUAUUCAAACAUACAAUAAUUUAUCAAUCCCUAAUGAACCAUCAUUCAUCACAAGCACAUACAGCACCAAAAUGAUGUUGUGCCUAUGAACUAUCCCUUACCUCUUUUGAAGUUCAAAAAUCUAUUUCUGCUUCUUCCUUGAAUUAAAAAUCCUAGCCACACAAAAUUGAAGUUUCUGUCACUCCUCCCUUCUCCCUCAGCUCCGUUUUAUUCUUUUCUUUCUUCUGUUUGUGCGUGUCUAUGAUGACCCAGAUGAAGCAAGCACUCAUAUAAGUAGAAGAAGAAGUGGAGGAACUCAUCCUGUCUCUCCUUCUUUCUGUCUUGGUUCUGCUCUCUCUCUCUCUCUCCCUCUCUUUGCUGCCUUCU